AUCCUGGCUCGGGAUGAACGCUAGCUACAGGCUUAACACAUGCAAGUCGAGGGGCAGCAUGAACUUAGCUUGCUAAGUUUGAUGGCGACCGGCGCACGGGUGAGUAACACGUAUCCAACCUGCCGAUGACUCGGGGAUAGCCUUUCGAAAGAAAGAUUAAUACCCGAUGGCAUAGUUCUUCCGCAUGGUAGAACUAUUAAAGAAUUUCGGUCAUCGAUGGGGAUGCGUUCCAUUAGGUUGUUGGCGGGG
rnacentral:rRNA from 1 species